AACGAACGCUGGCGGCAUGCUUAACACAUGCAAGUCGAACGAGACCUUCGGGCCUAGUUGCGCACCGGUGCGUACCGCGUGGUAACCUGCCUUUAGGUUCGGUAUAACUCAGUGUAAUUUGAGCUCAUAACGGUUGAUCUCUUCCGACCAAAGAUUUAUCGCCUUUUGAUGGGCCUGCGUUGGAUUCGCUAGUUGGUGGGGUAAUGGCCUACCAUGGCGACGAUCCAUAGCUGGUCGGAGAGGAUGAUCAGCCACGCUGGAACUGCGACACGGCCCACACUCGGACGGGAGGGAGGAGUAGGGAAUAUUAGACGAGGGGCCAAGGUGUGAUCCAGCAGCGUCGGGGGUGAGAGGAAGGCCUUAGUGAACUAAAGCUGUUUUAGCCGAGAUGAGAAUGACAGUAACGGGAGAAGAAGCACCGGCUAACUCCGUG
rnacentral:rRNA from 1 species